rnacentral:rRNA from 2 species
GCUAUGUGUGGACGGGAUAAGUGCUGAAAGCAUCUAAGCAUGAAGCCCCCCUCAAGAUGAGAUUUCCCAACUUCGGUUAUAAGAUCCCUCAAAGAUGAUGAGGUUAAUAGGUUCGAGGUGGAAGCAUGGUGACAUGUGGAGCUGACGAAUACUAAUCGAUCGAAGACUUAAUCAAAA